AGAGUUUGAUCCUGGCUCAGGAUGAACGCUAGCUACAGGCUUAACACAUGCAAGUCGAGGGGCAGCAUGGUCUUAGCUUGCUAAGGCCGAUGGCGACCGGCGCACGGGUGAGUAACACGUAUCCAACCUGCCGUCUACUCUUGGACAGCCUUCUGAAAGGAAGAUUAAUACAAGAUGGCAUCAUGAGUCCGCAUGUUCACAUGAUUAAAGGUAUUCCGGUAGACGAUGGGGAUGCGUUCCAUUAGAUAGUAGGCGGGGUAACGGCCCACCUAGUCUUCGAUGGAUAGGGGUUCUGAGAGGAAGGUCCCCCACAUUGGAACUGAGACACGGUCCAAACUCCUACGGGAGGCAGCAGUGAGGAAUAUUGGUCAAUGGGCGAGAGCCUGAACCAGCCAAGUAGCGUGAAGGAUGACUGCCCUAUGGGUUGUAAACUUCUUUUAUAAAGGAAUAAAGUCGGGUAUGGAUACCCGUUUGCAUGUACUUUAUGAAUAAGGAUCGGCUAACUCCGUGCCAGCAGCCGCGGUAAUACGGAGGAUCCGAGCGUUAUCCGGAUUUAUUGGGUUUAAAGGGAGCGUAGAUGGAUGUUUAAGUCAGUUGUGAAAGUUUGCGGCUCAACCGUAAAAUUGCAGUUGAUACUGGAUAUCUUGAGUGCAGUUGAGGCAGGCGGAAUUCGUGGUGUAGCGGUGAAAUGCUUAGAUAUCACGAAGAACUCCGAUUGCGAAGGCAGCCUGCUAAGCUGCAACUGACAUUGAGGCUCGAAAGUGUGGGUAUCAAACAGGAUUAGAUACCCUGGUAGUCCACACGGUAAACGAUGAAUACUCGCUGUUUGCGAUAUACGGCAAGCGGCCAAGCGAAAGCGUUAAGUAUUCCACCUGGGGAGUACGCCGGCAACGGUGAAACUCAAAGGAAUUGACGGGGGCCCGCACAAGCGGAGGAACAUGUGGUUUAAUUCGAUGAUACGCGAGGAACCUUACCCGGGCUUAAAUUGCAGAUGAAUUACGGUGAAAGCCGUAAGCCGCAAGGCAUCUGUGAAGGUGCUGCAUGGUUGUCGUCAGCUCGUGCCGUGAGGUGUCGGCUUAAGUGCCAUAACGAGCGCAACCCUUGUUGUCAGUUACUAACAGGUCAUGCUGAGGACUCUGACAAGACUGCCAUCGUAAGAUGUGAGGAAGGUGGGGAUGACGUCAAAUCAGCACGGCCCUUACGUCCGGGGCUACACACGUGUUACAAUGGGGGGUACAGAGGGCCGCUACCACGCGAGUGGAUGCCAAUCCCAAAAACCUCUCUCAGUUCGGACUGGAGUCUGCAACCCGACUCCACGAAGCUGGAUUCGCUAGUAAUCGCGCAUCAGCCACGGCGCGGUGAAUACGUUCCCGGGCCUUGUACACACCGCCCGUCAAGCCAUGGGAGCCGGGGGUACCUGAAGUGCGUAACCGCGAGGAGCGCCCUAGGGUAAAACUGGUGACUGGGGCUAAGUCGUAACAAGGUAGCCGUACCGGAAGGUGCGGCUG
rnacentral:rRNA from 1 species